CCUACGGGAGGCAGCAGUGAGGAAUAUUGGUCAAUGGCCGAGAGGCUGAACCAGCCAAGUCGCGUGAGGGAAGACGGCCCUACGGGUUGUAAACCUCUUUUAUCGGGGAGCAAAGCGACCCACGUGUGGUUCAUUGAGAGUACCCGAAGAAAAAGCAUCGGCUAACGCCGUUCCAGCCGCCGCGGUAAUACGGAGGAUGCGAGGCUGAUCCGGAUUUAUUGGGUUAAAGGGGUGGGCGGGCGGAGGUGAAAGUCAGCGGGAAAAUUGCGGGGCUCAACCCCGUACUGCCGUUGAAACUGCAUCCCUUGAGUGCGCGAGAAGUAUGCGGAAUGCGUGGUGUAGCGGUGAAAUGCAUAGAUAUCACGAAGAACUCCGAUUGCGAAGGCAGCAUACCGGCGCGCAACUGACGCUCAUGCACGAAAGCGUGGGUAUCGAACAGGAUUAGAUACCCGGGUAGUC
rnacentral:rRNA from 1 species